CAGUCGCCGCGGGAAUACGGAGGAUCCAAGCGUUAUCCGGAAUCAUUGGGUUUAAAGGGUCCGUAGGCGGUUUAGUAAGUCAGUGGUGAAAGCCCAUCGCUCAACGGUGGAACGGCCAUUGAUACUGCUGAACUUGAAUUAUUAGGAAGUAACUAGAAUAUGUAGUGUAGCAGUGAAAUGCUUAGAGAUUACAUGGAAUACCAAUUGCGAAGGCAGGUUACUACUAAUUGAUUGGCGCUGAUGGACGAAAGCGUGGGGAGCGAACAGGAUUAGAUACCCCUGUAGUCCCUGUCUCUUAUAC
rnacentral:rRNA from 1 species